GGAAUAUUGGACAAUGGGCGCAAGCCUGAUCCAGCAAUGCCGCGUGCAGGAUGAAGGCCUUCGGGUUGUAAACUGCUUUUGUACGGAACGAAAAGCUCUGGGCUAAUACCUCGGAGUCAUGACGGUACCGUAAGAAUAAGCACCGGCUAACUACGUGCCAGCAGCCGCGGUAAUACGUAGGGUGCAAGCGUUAAUCGGAAUUACUGGGCGUAAAGCGUGCGCAGGCGGUUUUGUAAGACAGUGGUGAAAUCCCCGGGCUCAACCUGGGAACUGCCAUUGUGACUGCAAGGCUAGAGUACGGCAGAGGGGGGUGGAAUUCCGCGUGUAGCAGUGAAAUGCGUAGAUAUGCGGAGGAACACCGAUGGCGAAGGCAACCCCCUGGGCCUGUACUGACGCUCAUGCACGAAAGCGUGGGGAGCAAAC
rnacentral:rRNA from 1 species